AAGAACCAAGAAGGCAGGUUCCCAAAACAGAAACUCGAAAGCGACGACUCCCACCAGAACUCACAGAGCAAGCGCAAGGUGCCACCAAGUUCUGGGUCUACUUGUCAGGGAGCAGCCCCACGUCAGGACGCGGAGACAGAGACCCAAAUCUGGGCUGAGGAAAGGUGGCGUCAGGCCCACUUCCAAAGCACCACCGCGCUCCUGCCCACGGGGAGACGAAGCGGAGACCCCGGCAAGGGCCACCGUCAGGCCCAGCGGGAGGCAGCAGCAGAGCCUCACCCCUGCGGCAGCUCUGGGAGAGAGCAGUCUGUCUGGCAGAUUCCCAAAACUGCUCUCACAAGAAUCCUCAACCGGCAAGAAACGAACCUGACGUCUAAAGAAAAACAACAGCCAUUAUUGAACCCACCACUCGCCACGGGGGCUUGCAGGAAUCAAUUCGCUCUCUGGAGAGUGCUCCUGAACGCUGAUCUAUGGGAAACGUGUCACACGCAGUUUUUGAUAAAUCUACAUUCACCAGAUCUCACUGGCACACACUCAACACCCGGGCGGAUGUGGACCCCAGGAGAGCUCGUGUCCUGUGCCGGGAGGGGAGAGUCACUGCCGAGGGCGGAAGGAGGAGGAGCCUGGGCCUCCCCACCUGGGGCAGGAUGGGGUCACCUGAACCACUUCUGCUCUUCUCCCUGGGCGAAAAUUCCAGCUCAGCCCGCUUCCGACAGCUUCUGCUCUCCUCCUCCCAGACCCCCGCUCACCUGCAGCGUGAGGCUGCCCCACAAACCCGACGGGGCUGACUGGCGGCUCCGACCCAGUGAGCAGGGGUCAGUGCCAGGGGUGCUUCAUCACGCCUCCCUAACCCUGGCCAGGCAGUCUGCAGGCUUCACAAAUGCUACCCACUCAAUCCCGAGAACUGUGCUGAGACGAGCAGUCCCAGGGCCACAUCACAGACGCACACGCGAACACAGGCCACAGCAGACAACGUGGAACCACCAAAGCCCAUUCUCGCAGGUAAAAACGUGGCUGCAUCUUCAAUUCUUUAAAAAAUAA
rnacentral:lncRNA from 1 species